UGGGGAAUUUUGGACAAUGGGCGCAAGCCUGAUCCAGCCAUGCCGCGUGCGGGAAGAAGGCCUUCGGGUUGUAAACCGCUUUGUCAGGGAAGAAAUCUUCUGAGUUAAUACCUCGGGAGGAUGACGGUACCUGAAGAAUAAGCACCGGCUAACUACGUGCCAGCAGCCGCGGUAAUACGUAGGGUGCAAGCGUUAAUCGGAAUUACUGGGCGUAAAGCGUGCGCAGGCGGUUUUGUAAGACAGAGGUGAAAUCCCCGGGCUCAACCUGGGAACUGCCUUUGUGACUGCAAGGCUUGAGUGCGGCAGAGGGGGAUGGAAUUCCGCGUGUAGCAGUGAAAUGCGUAGAUAUGCGGAGGAACACCGAUGGCGAAGGCAAUCCCCUGGGCCUGCACUGACGCUCAUGCACGAAAGCGUGGGGAGCAAACAGGAUUAGAUACCCUGGUAGUCCACGCCCUAAACGAUGUCAACUGGUUGUUGGGAAGGUUCCUUCUCAGUAACGUAGCUAACGCGUGAAGUUGACCGCCUGGGGAGUACGGCCGCAAGGUUGAAACUUAAAUGAAUUGACGGGGU
rnacentral:rRNA from 1 species